ACGAGCACGGGCCAUAAAUGACCGAGUCGAACACCACAUUAAACACUGCAUUCUCACCAAAAAACAGCAUCUGCUCUGGAGCACAGCCAAAAUGCCUGGAACGAAAGGUAAUAAAUCGGACAAGAAGUCAGCUACCAAGCAACCUCAGAGUCCUAAAGAGCAGCCGAAGAAAGGUGAUCAGAAAGGAGAUGAUAACAAGAAGCAAGGAGGACAGCCGAAGGGAGAGAAGCAAUAACUUCCAGGCGUUCGUGAAGAUGGCUUUGGAGACACUGCUGGGGUCCUGCCGUCGUAAACACGGGGGUCCUCGGGGCAGACAAGGCUGAGUGCUCCUCCUCCUCUACCCCUCCCUCAGAGCCUGCACACACUGUGCUGCUGCUGCUGUUGUGGCCUUGCAAUACAGCAUCUGCUCACCUCUCGCAGAGGCAGAAAAUGAACCUGGUCUCCAUCCAUCACCAUCUGUUGUUCAACCUCUGUUCUUGCCUCCCUCUUCCUCAGCCCGGUUCAGUCCCCCACACUGUCAGAAAUAGACACCGGACCUGACUCCGAAGAAAAGAUUCUGCAGUCCUUUCCAAACUCCCGCUAACACCGCCGGAUUGUCAAAACUCGACUUUUUGUAAAUACUGACUCAAAUAAAACAACUAU